CCCCUCCACGAUCCCUACCCGAUUCACGCAUCUCACCCUCCCUCCUGCACGAGCAUCCGCCGCCGCCGGUGCAUUGGCUGCCUCCCUCCCCCAUCGCCGGCCACCUCUCGCCCCUAAUAGCCGGUCGCCUCCCUCCACCGGAUGCCGACCACCUACUUCACCGCGCCGACCGCCUACAUCCCAGCCGCCGGCCAUGACCAGAUCCGCACCGGCGUUCCCGCAUCGGCGCCACCACGACCACGCAGCGGCAGAGGAGUCCUCCUCCUCCCACCACCACCGCCGCCACCACCGCGCCCUCCUCCUUCCACCUCCACACCCAUCCAUAUCCCUCCCUGCUCGCGCCCGAAACCCUAGCCCGCGGGCGGCCAUGGCGACCGAGCUCAGGAUCCGCAGCAUCUUCCUCUCCUCCGAGAGCAAGAGCGGCAACGUCCGCAAGGUCAGUUUGCUCCCUCCGAUCUGCUCUGCUUGCGUGAAGGGGCCCGGCGAGGAAAUGCUGCUGCUGCUGCAGGUUCUUCCUCCUCCCCGCUGUAGGUGGUACCUGAAAGGCUGAACCUGAUCUGAUGAAGUUGCUUGUCAGACUACCUUCCUUUGAUGAACUCGAAGGUCAAGAGACCAAGGUCUGCCGCUGCGUGCAUGACAACAUGAGGUGCCGCAAUCGGCGUGGUAUGCUGGUGGAUGAUGGCGACAGUGAGAUGGUUGGCAAGGAUUAUGAGAGGUCGGCGAGCAGCACUCCUUCCUCUCUUCCCUGUGGAGAAGAUGACCUGCAGCUCAUUGACGUUCCCUCGAGUCUCUCUUUCUUCCGGCAAGAUUCUACAUCAAGGCUUGUGGCUUACCUUAUGGAUCUUAAUUAAGUCACCCCUUGCAAUUUCCUGAGGUGCUACCUCAUCAUUCUUAGGUGGCUCCUUUUUUUCCAUUUUGUGGCAGUUGAUAGUUGUGUAGUACAUGGAUGGGGGAGCUACUUAUUUAGCCUAUCAAAGAAUUAUCUCACUAGAUGUACGUAGGGAAAGAGAGCUCUUAUAUUGACACUCCUAGCACUUGAUAUAGGGUAAGCUUUUUUUCAAGUUGUUUAUAAUCUUGUGCUGGAAAAUAACAAUUAUAGAUUGCUAGGCAUUUGCCAUAUUGCCAUGCUAACUGAAAAUUGAUGUCAUCUCUGGUCUAAAAUGUCGUAGCUUGUUCUUUUGCACUUUCAUACACUCGUACUGACUACACAUAAUGUCAAAUGAUGCGAGUGUCAGUAUAUAUCAUCUAUGGAGUUGCUUGUGCUAUUGGAAUUUCACCAGUUGCUCCAGAGCACAAAAACACAAUAACAGUUGGGAGGGUUGCUUUGUAUCCCUAUACCCACACCCACACCUAACCGCCAUCUCCCAUUUUCCUCAGUAUCACGACCUGAUGCGACGUUGGCAGCGCAAUCAGUCGGAGGAGGCCAGCGGUGGCGAUGACGGCUCUGCGAUGGGGAAAGGUCGCUCGUCGUCGCGGCACCAGCAAUUCCACGAUCGCAUAAUACCCGCAUGUUGAUGACCUCCAGGACUCUCCGGCCUCCUCCCUCCAGGCGUACUAUUGUUCAAGAUAGUGUGUGUGACAUAUGUGGGAACGGGGAGGAAGAUGAAUAUCAUGUUGUUAUAUCAUGCACAAAAAGUAAGGCGUUGAGAUUUGCCAUGAGGAAAGAGUGGAGGCUUCCAGAAGAAAAGGAGUUCUGGUACACUGGAACAGACUGGCUACAAAUCCUACUGGACAAGUAUGAUUCAGAGAUAAGAAAGAAAAUUCUGCUGUUGUUAUGGAGAGCCUGGUUUCUACGAGAUAACUGUUUCCACAGUGAUGGCAAAGAAACCAUUUCGAGAUCGGUGAUGUUCCUUGUGCAGUAUGAGGAGGAAAUCAGGAAUUUGUCGCUAUCUGUUGUUGGACAGGGAAACAAGAGUUGCUGGUCCCUGUCUGCAUCUAUGCAGACACACCACACCUAGGAAUCAGCCGAACGCCGAGCCAAAUGCCCAGUGGAAAGAGCCGCCUAAAGGUGUUGUAAAACUGAACACUGACGCUGCCUUUUUGUCAGGCACGGGCCAAGCCUAGGCUGGCGCGAUCGCACGGGAUCAUACGGGGCAUGUUGUCUUCUCGGCGAGUAAAUCGAUGAAUAAAUGCAGAUCAGUUGAAGAGGCAGAGGGGCAAGCUAUCCUGAUGGGUCUGGUAUCGCUGUCGAGACUGUUCCAAGGCCCACUGAUCAUUGAGACUGGCAUCAAAAUGAUUGCAAAUGAAUUGGGACAAGCCAGAUCAAGCCGAUCGGAUUGUUUUCUGGGUUGUCAGUGAGAUAAAAAACACAAGCCGGAUCUUCAGUGCAGUUCAGGCCAAGGCCAUCAAAAGGGAACAAAACUGUCUACCACAUGAGCUUGGCUGCCAGAGCUAGACGGCAUGAGGACUCACUGAUAAUUGCGGACGUGCCCGAGGAGCUUCGUUCGCUGAUGCUAUCAGAAUGUACCAAGUGAAGUGUUUGGUCCUUUUUUAGGCUAUCUUGAACGAUUGCAGGUUUUAAUCAAGAAGUCCUCAAUAGGUGGACUGGCUCAAAAUGGAGAAGCACGUUGGUAGCUUUUUGGUUGAUUGUAUUAAGCAUUUAAGUUCGUAGCAAUUCAUACCAUCAAUAUCUUUGGGGUGCCUUGUACUCCUUCCGUAAAAUAAUACAAGAGCAUAGUGAUCUAAACGCUCUUAUAUUAUAGUUUACAGAGGGAGUAAUAUUUUAAUUGUGCCUUUUUCGGCC